GUAGUUGUGGCCGAGUGGUUAAGGCGAUGGACUACAAAUCCAUUGGGGUUACCCCGCGCAAGUUCAAAUCCUGCUAGCUUUU